ACAGAGGUCCCAAGCGUUGUUCGGAUUCACUGGGCGUAAAGGGUGCGUAGGUGGCGGUGGAAGUUUGGUGUGAAAUCUCCGGGCUCAACCCGGAAAAGGCAUUAAAUACUCCAUCGCUCGAGGACUGGAGGGGAGACUGGAAUUCUCGGUGUAGCGGUGAAAUGCGUAGAUAUCGAGAGGAACACCAGUGGCGAAGGCGGCUUUCUGGACUGACCCUGACGCUGAGGUGCGAAAGCGUGGGUAGCAAACAG
rnacentral:rRNA from 1 species